AUUGAACGCUGGCGGCAUGCCUAACACAUGCAAGUCGAGCGGAUGAAGGGAGCUUGCUCCUGGAUUCAGAGGCGGACGGGUGAGUAAUGCCUAGGAAUCUGCCUGGUAGUGGGUGAUAACGUCUGGAAACGGGCGCUAAUACCGCAUACGUCCUGCGGGAGAAAGUUGGGGAUCUUCGGACCUCUCGCUAUCAGAUGAGCCUAGGUCGGAUUAGCUGGCUGGUGGGGUAAAGGCCUACCAAGGCGACGAUCCGUAACUGGACUGAGAGGAUGAUCAGUCACACUGGAACGGGGACACGGUCCAGACUCCUACGGGAGGCAGCAGUGGGGAAUAUUGGACAAUGGGCGAAAGCCUGAUCCAGCCAUGCCGCGUGUGUGAAGAAGGUCUUCGGAUUGUAAAGCACUUUUAGUUGGGAGGAAGGGCAGUAAGUUAAUACCUUGCUGUUUUGACGUUACCAACAGAAGAAGCACCGGCUAACUUCGUG
rnacentral:rRNA from 1 species